GAUGAACGCUGGCGGCGUGCCUAAUACAUGCAAGUCGAGCGAACGGACGAGAAGCUUGCUUCUCUGAUGUUAGCGGCGGACGGGUGAGUAACACGUGGAUAACCUACCUAUAAGACUGGGAUAACUUCGGGAAACCGGAGCUAAUACCGGAUAAUAUUUUGAACCGCAUGGUUCAAAAGUGAAAGACGGUCUUGCUGUCACUUAUAGAUGGAUCCGCGCUGCAUUAGCUAGUUGGUAAGGUAACGGCUUACCAAGGCAACGAUGCAUAGCCGACCUGAGAGGGUGAUCGGCCACACUGGAACUGAGACACGGUCCAGACUCCUACGGGAGGCAGCAGUAGGGAAUCUUCCGCAAUGGGCGAAAGCCUGACGGAGCAACGCCGCGUGAGUGAUGAAGGUCUUCGGAUCGUAAAACUCUGUUAUUAGGGAAGAACAUAUGUGUAAGUAACUGUGCACAUCUUGACGGUACCUAAUCAGAAAGCCACGGCUAACUACGUGCCAGCAGCCGCGGUAAUACGUAGGUGGCAAGCGUUAUCCGGAAUUAUUGGGCGUAAAGCGCGCGUAGGCGGUUUUUUAAGUCUGAUGUGAAAGCCCACGGCUCAACCGUGGAGGGUCAUUGGAAACUGGAAAACUUGAGUGCAGAAGAGGAAAGUGGAAUUCCAUGUGUAGCGGUGAAAUGCGCAGAGAUAUGGAGGAACACCAGUGGCGAAGGCGACUUUCUGGUCUGUAACUGACGCUGAUGUGCGAAAGCGUGGGGAUCAAACAGGAUUAGAUACCCUGGUAGUCCACGCCGUAAACGAUGAGUGCUAAGUGUUAGGGGGUUUCCGCCCCUUAGUGCUGCAGCUAACGCAUUAAGCACUCCGCCUGGGGAGUACGACCGCAAGGUUGAAACUCAAAGGAAUUGACGGGGACCCGCACAAGCGGUGGAGCAUGUGGUUUAAUUCGAAGCAACGCGAAGAACCUUACCAAAUCUUGACAUCCUUUGACAACUCUAGAGAUAGAGCCUCCCCCUUCGGGGGACAAAGUGACAGGUGGUGCAUGGUUGUCGUCAGCUCGUGUCGUGAGAUGUUGGGUUAAGUCCCGCAACGAGCGCAACCCUUAAGCUUAGUUGCCAUCAUUAAGUUGGGCACUCUAAGUUGACUGCCGGUGACAAACCGGAGGAAGGUGGGGAUGACGUCAAAUCAUCAUGCCCCUUAUGAUUUGGGCUACACACGUGCUACAAUGGACAAUACAAAGGGCAGCGAAACCGCGAGGUCAAGCAAAUCCCAUAAAGUUGUUCUCAGUUCGGAUUGUAGUCUGCAACUCGACUACAUGAAGCUGGAAUCGCUAGUAAUCGUAGAUCGGCAUGCUACGGUGAAUACGUUCCCGGGUCU
rnacentral:rRNA from 1 species